UGGGUUUACUAGAUUGUGUCAGUUCUUCUUCCGAUCGAACUUCAUCAAGUUCAAUCUUUGAGGUAUUAGUUCUUUCUUCAAAGAAUUUUUUUUUUCUAGAAAGACUACCCUAUUGCUGACGAACACCUUUUGUUUAUCAACAUAGUAGAAGUAAUACUCUUUGAUCUCUUUUGGAUAGCUUACAAAUAAAAAUUUAUUAGACCUAGGUC
rnacentral:lncRNA from 1 species